UUCAGCCUUACACACGGUAUGGUAUACGUUUUUGAAAGUUGUUGCCCUUUACUACUCUCCAACAAUGUCAAGAAUCGGCACUUUAAAGAACAGUGUGAGUUUCAUCACUGGGGGAGCAUCAGGGCUCGGGAAGGCAGCUGCUAGGAGAUUCGUUGAGCAAGGUGGUAAAGUUGUCAUAUGUGACCUCCCUAAAUCAGAUGGAAGUCAAGUUGCUAGUGAGCUUGGAGAUAACUGUAUGUUU